rnacentral:tRNA from 1 species
GCCGAGGUGGCGGAAUAGGCAGACGCAAGGGACUUAAAAUCCCUCGAGAGCAAUCUCGUACCGGUUCAAGUCCGGUCCCCGGCACCA